rnacentral:rRNA from 1 species
CUAACACAUGCAAGUCGAACGGUAACAGGAUGUGCUUGCACAUCGCUGACGAGUGGCGGACGGGUGAGUAAUGCUUGGGAACUUGCCUUUGCGAGGGGGAUAACAGUUGGAAACGACUGCUAAUACCGCAUAAUGUCUUCGGACCAAACGGGGCUUCGGCUCCGGCGCAAAGAGAGGCCCAAGUGAGAUUAGCUAGUUGGUAAGGUAACGGCUUACCAAGGCGACGAUCUCUAGCUGUUCUGAGAGGAAGAUCAGCCACACUGGGACUGAGACACGGCCCAGACUCCUACGGGAGGCAGCAGUGGGGAAUAUUGCACAAUGGGGGAAACCCUGAUGCGGCCAUGCCGCGUGUGUGAGGAAGGCCUUCGGGUUGUAAAGCACUUUCAGUUGUGAGGAAAAGUUAGUAGUUAAUACCUGCUAGCCGUGACGUUAACAACAGAAGAAGCACCGGCUAACUCCGUGCCAGCAGCCGCGGUAAUACGGAGGGUGCGAGCGUUAAUCGGAAUUACUGGGCGUAAAGCGCACGCAGGCGGUUUGUUAAGCUAGAUGUGAAAGCCCCGGGCUCAACCUGGGAUGGUCAUUUAGAACUGGCAGACUAGAGUCUUGGAGAGGGGAGUGGAAUUCCAGGUGUAGCGGUGAAAUGCGUAGAUAUCUGGAGGAACAUCAGUGGCGAAGGCGACUCCCUGGCCAAAGACUGACGCUCAUGUGCGAAAGUGUGGGUAGCGAACAGGAUUAGAUACCCUGGUAGUCCACUCCGUAAACGCUGUCUACUAGCUGUGUGUGUCUUUAAGACGUGCGUAGCGAAGCUAACGCGCUAAGUAGACCGCCUGGGGAGUACGGCCGCAAGGUUAAAACUCAAAUGAAUUGACGGGGGCCCGCACAAGCGGUGAGCAUGUGUUUAAUUCGAUGCAACGCGAAGACCUUACUUACACUUGACAUGCUGAGAAGUUACUAGAGAUAGUUUCGUGCCUUCGGGACUCAGACACAGGUGCUGCAUGGCUGUCGUCAGCUCGUGUCGUGAGAUGUUGGGUUAAGUCCCGCACGAGCGCACCCUUGUCCUUAGUUGCCAGCC